GGUUGAUGGUGCGCGGGGCUGGCGGGCAGUUGGCAUGAGCGGGACCGAAGCUGAGGCAGGAAGAGCCGGCACCAUGGUGGAGAAGGAGGAGGCUGGAGGUGGCAUCAGCCAGGAGGAGGCAGGCGCAGUAUGACCAGCAGAUCUGCCUUUGGGGACUGGAGGCCCCGAAAUGGCUGCGGGCCUCCCAGGUGCUUCUUGCAGGCAUGAAAGGACUCGGGGCUGAAAUUGCCAAGAAUCUCAUCCUGGCAGGAGUGAAAGGACUGACCAUGCUGGAUCACAAACAGAUAUCUCCAGAAGAACCCGGAGCUCAGUUCUUGAUUCGUAUUGGGUCUGUUGGCCGAAAUAGGGCUGAAGCCUCUUUGGAGCGAGCUCAGAAUCUUAACCCCAUGGUGGAUGUGAAGUUGGACACUGAGGAUAUAGAGAAGAAACCAGAGUCAUUUUUCACUCAAUUUGAUGCUGUGUGUUGACUUGCUGCUCCAGGGCUGUCAUAGUUAAGGUUGACCAGAUCUGUCACAAAAAUAGCAUCAAGUUCUUUGCAGGAGAUGUUUUUAGCUACCAUGGAUACACAUUUGCCAAUCUAGGAGAACAUGAGUUUGUAGAGGAGAAAACUAAAGUUGCUAAAGUUAGCCAAGGAGUAGAAGAUGGGCCUGAUACCAAGAGAGUAAAACUUGAUUCUUCUGAGACAACGAUGGUCAAGAAGAAGGUGGUCUUCUGCCCCGUUAAAGAAGCGCUGGAGGUGGACUGGAGCAGUAAGAAAGCAAAGGCUGCUCUGAAGCGCACGACCUCCGACCACUUUCUCCUUCAAGUGCUCCUAAAGUUCCGCACAGAUAAAGGAAGAGAUCCCAGUUCUGAUACACACGGGGAAGAUUCCGAGUUGUUGCUCCAGAUACGAAACGAUGUGCUUGACUCACUGGGUAUUAUUCCUGACCCGCGCUUUAUCACGUACUUCUUCUCUGAGAUGGCCCCAGUGUGUGCGGUGGUUGGAGGGAUUUUGGCACAGGAAAUUGUGAAGGCCCUGUCUCAGCAGGACCCUCCUCACAACUUCUUCUUCAAUGGCAUGAAGGGGAAUGGGAUUCUGGAGUGGCUUGGCCCCAAGUGAACCCAAGACUUGGCAGCCCUGGAGAUGCCAAUUGCAACAUGCCUGCCUGUAUUCCCUGUCCCCCUCCUUCGUGAAGGCAUCUCCAGGCAAGGAAAACUGAAGUCAUCGGCCCAGUACAAAACAUUUCCUGCGACGAAGGAGGUGGUGCCGUCAUGCUGCUUCCCAUCACCCGCAGCUGCUUGACAAGGGGUGCAGGGCAGCUGUCUUUGUUCCAGCACUGUUCAGACUGCCUGCUGUCCCAGGCCUGCCAGCUCCCCUGAGUGAUAAGCACUUCCAAGCACCCCUCUGCCCCUUCUCUGUCCUUAUGCUGUCACGGCCUCGCCAGCCCUCUAGGGUAUUAUGGGAGAUGCCUGCCAGGAACGAGCAUGCUCUGUUGCUUAGGAGCCUCUUGCCACCUUCUUGGACUUAACUCCCCACCUGAUGUCUUACAGAGAGGAGCGUGACUUCAGGUGGAGAGUAGGCCCAGGCCCCAUGAGGCACCAGUGGAAGCACAGCUCCAAGUUCAGACAGGUGCCCUUAGAGAGGAAACCCAUGACAGGCAAAUGCAUUUCCUCUGGAGUUUGAGACCCUGACGAACAACAGGUGGCAUCUGGUGUGCCGUUCUUGAGUUUUCGUUUAGGAUUCGUUGAGUUCCAGCUGGGUUUUGGGAGAAAGGAGAUGCUACCAAGUCUUGGAUGUUAGGGCGAGACCCUGCAAGUUGAGUAUUAGUGGGAGAGCUUGUCUUUCAAGGCAGGUUCCUGGGGCUUCAGGGCUAGGAGGCAGGAGCUUGCCCUUUUAACACAACCCCAGUCACCCAUGCGGCCCAGGCCACUCAGAGGCUGUUGCAUUUCAGGGCUGUGUUGGUCCUCUGUUUACCUCCUAAACCACAGCUGUUUGUGUUUCACAUAUGUUCUGAAUUUUCCUUGGUUCUUUUUAAAGGAAUGAUAAUAAAGUUACUUGCUUUAGGA